GCGGACGGGUGAGUAAUGCGUAAAGAACUUGCCCUCUAGUCUGGGACAACAGUUGGAAACGACUGCUAAUACCGGAUAUUAUGAUUGUAUCGCAUGAUAUGAUUAUGAAAGCUAAAUGCGCUAGAGGAGAGCUUUACGUCCUAUUAGCUAGUUGGUGAGGUAAUGGCUCACCAAGGCGACGAUAGGUAGCCGGCCUGAGAGGGUGGACGGCCACAAGGGGACUGAGACACGGCCCUUACUCC
rnacentral:rRNA from 1 species